UAAUUUGACGAAUUUUUGGGACCAACUU
rnacentral:sRNA from 1 species